GAGAACACGAAGAAGAGGAGGGAGAGAGCCGGCUCCUAUUGGAUUGGAGCCGGCUCCCCUUGGACUGGAGGCGGCUCCAAUGGUCUAGGAGCCGGCUCCAGGGCCAUUGGAGGCGGCUCCAAUAUUCUGGAGCCGGCUCCCGGUUGUUUAUGCGUGUACGUCAGUUCCAGGCUUGAGCUUGUUCGUGCAGAGCAGAGACGAUCUUCCAUUCUACCGAAGAUGUAGGGUUUCUUUCCAGAUCUUGGAUUUGGGUUUUAUCUUUUAUUUUACUUUCAUUUAGUGUGAGACUUUUAUUAGGGGUCCACUAGAGAUGGAUUCCCGAGUUGUUCAAAUUAUGGAUAUUUGGUUUAUCAAAUUUAAGUAUUUAAUUAUUUAAGGAUUAUCUUUUA